GUCUUCUAUUACCUCGAUAGGCUCUAUCAGGCCUGAAUGAAGGGGGGGGGGGAAGACCAAGGUAGUCAAUGACACGUAGUCUGAGCUGUCGCCAGUGUGUUGACUUUGCUCCUACGCUCUUAACCGGUGUACAGGGGGGAACCAGGGAGAAGCAGACGUGCCUUUAUAGAGGUCGCGCACACUUAGGCAAAGUACGCUUUAGUGUUAACAGGCAGGAUAACACUUUAGAGGAGAACAAAAAAAAAUAUACCAAAAAAAAAGUAAAAAACAAAAAAAAAAAAACAAUGGCUGCUAAAAUCCUGAUUAUUUACCAUUCGGCCAGACCAUGGCGGUGUCAAAUGCAACCUAUUGACUCAGCUCUUUUUCGGCGUGUUUAAAGACUUUGCAAGGACAACAGAGCGUGUUGACUAUCCUAGGGGAAUGUUUUGUCAAUAAUAAAAAGCAGCAAGGUUGUAAAUACCCUGAUUACCUUUCUGUGAAAUGGCGGCGCGUAAAUUAGAAAGGGCAAAGAAUUGCGCCAAAAUAAACGAUUUAAAACAAAAAAAAAUAGCCCAAUAGGUAGUUUAACUGACAUAAACUAAAUUCAGAUUUAGGGAGAUUCUUCGAACUUGAUACCGUCAAAGACCUACGAGAAUUAUGCUAGUUAAUGUUCGCUGAACAAUUACAGAAUCAGAGUGGGGGGUUCGUCUCUAAAAUUUUGAAUGGAUGUUGUUCAUUUAUUAUAAAAGCCCCCCCAUCCCCCUUUCUUUUUCUUCUUCUUUUAAAACCAUCUUCUGAAAUGAAAAAAAAACAAACUGAUCGAAUAUGGGAGAAUGAGACUUAAUCUGCAAGCUAUGAAGAAGCUGAUUGGGAGUAACAUUUCAAGUUGGAACACUUCUCACCCACACUUCUACAACAAAUAGGCUUUUGCUCAACUAUCCUGAUUUUCGUCUCCGUAGAAGACACAGCAGAAUGUUCUAUAAGAUACAAACUGAGACUAGUGCAACACGCACUUGUGUCAUUAGAGAACGCUGACCACGCUUUUUCAAAGCUGCACACUUUCUGGAGACUUUGGGCCCUGGAACAUCCCUUCAGAAGGAAACUCAAAGGAGAAAUGACAUCUGGAAAUCCCUGAGCAGCUCAUCUAAGAUAUAGUACUGGUUGUCUGAAAUCUCCAGCUUCUCAGUAUACACGAAGACUAGCCAUCUAGUCCAUCAUUAAGUAGGUUGAAACGAGACUUCUCUUUUCCAUAGUAAUCUAUAUAAGGUUUGUGAGGUUUGUGAAGCAUGUAAGCCACGAUUGGCGUCAAUCGUAUAGUCCAGCAAAUGAAAAUAUUUUUUAUUCCAACAAUCUUUUUUUUAAAUAAUCAAAAUAACUUUUACAAAAUGAAAGAGGGUGACCGUCUGUAAUGAUAAAAACAAACAAACUUCAUUUUAACAAAUGUUUCACUUUCUGUGACCAAAACAAAAUCACUAAUAAUUUAAUAAAUAAUUUAAAUAUACCUGCAUAUUUUACAGUAUCAGAUUUUAACUCACAUCGAAGCCAAAUACAAAUUUUGAACUAUAGUAAUAGCCUUGCACCAUUAAAACCUUACAUUCUUUGUUUUAUUAGUCUAGAGUUCUAAGUGUUUAAUAGUAAAUAUACAUCAUAGAUAAUAAUAUUAAAAAGUAUAACAAAUUCAAAUAAUACAAUGAAAAGAAACCACUAAGAAUAUUAAAAAAUGACUUUUUUUUUUCUUUCUUUAAAGAGUACAAUGAAAGUCGUGUGUCAAUUUAACCAUUUUAUUUGUUUUGCCACAAAGCACAAGAGCUACAAAGGCAUUCAUUUCAAAUAAUAACAAUAUACAAAUAACAUACUCGAAUCCUUUAAACAGCAAGUUGAGUAAACAGGUUGAAUAACAAGUGGUGGUAGCAAGAACCACAGCAAAAACCACAGCAUUUGUUUUCAUGUCACCUAUUUCACACAAUCCCAAAAAUCGGCAUGAUUUAAGCGUCUAACUAGAUGACACAGGUGUGUAGCUAGCCAACAUAAAGUGGCUGUGUAACUAACACUGACAAAAUGUGUGCAACUAGCUGACACAAGUGUGUAGUGUGUAACUAACAACAAUUAAGUGUGUAACUAGCUGACACAACGCCAAGGAUAACUUCAAUGUGUUUCUUGUAAUCUUAGAGUCAUCCGAGGAUUCUAUCAAGUGUUGACCAUGAAGUGGUGAGAGAAAUUGAUGUUUUACUAUGGACUGGAAGGCAAACAGACAAGAGGACCUAAAAAAUCAGUCUUGCUGGUCUCGUCACACUAAAGUUUCAACAAAGUGUCUCCAACACAAGCAUGGAUUGCAGAAUGUCUUAUUGGAGAGCAGCUUGGAUCUUGGAACAGAGUUUCACUGUAUUACGACAAUUUGGCAACUUUUCAUACUUUCAAGGGAAGUGUGUUUGAUGUCGCACAAACUGACCCGGUCGUACAUUGAGUGAUUGACAUUCAAAAGCGGCGGCUGUUAGUUAGCAUUGUACAAUAAUGGUACUGAAAAUAAAAGGGUGUAUAGACAAAUGAACAGAGUUGUUCUAUGAAAGUAUCAGUGUGUGCAUGCGUUCAGGGAAAUAAAUGUGAACAGAUUCAACGAAAUAAACAAGACAUGAAGAAAUAACUAUUACUUAAAUAU